rnacentral:lncRNA from 1 species
CUUGGGGCUUAAGGUGACUAUAGAACUUUCACCAAUUCAUGAGCUGGCCAGAAGUCCAAUAGUAGGCCUCAACAAUAGUCAUGAAGUACCUCAUAUUUAGAAUCAAGGUCUGACGUAUGAGCAAGCAGUCACCAGUAAAAAGAAUGUACAAGAGCAGUUGAAUCCCAGAGGUAGGCCAGUAGGACUCAAACUCAACCCCCUAAACCACC